rnacentral:rRNA from 1 species
AGUCAAUAGAUACCCGGGUAGUCCAUGCCGUAAACGAUGAUUGCUAGGUGUGGGGGGUCUGACCCCUUCCGUGCCGGAGUUAAACACAAAUAAGCAAUCCACCUGGGGAGUACGGCCGCAAGGUUGAAACUCAAAGGAAUUGACGGGGGCCCGCACAAGCAGUGAAGUAUGUGGUUUAAUUCGAAGCAACGCGAAGAACCUUACCAGGUCUUGACAUCCACCGAAUCCUGUAGAGAUACGGGAGUGCCCUUCGGGGAACGGUGAGACAGGUGGUGCAUGGUUGUCGUCAGCUCGUGUCGUGAGAUGUUGGGUUAAGUCCCGCAACGAGCGCAACCCUUGUGAAUAGUUGCUACGAAAGAGCACUCUAUUCAGACCGCCGUUGACAAAACGGAGGAAGGUGGGGAUGACGUCAAAUCAUCAUGCCCCUUAUGACCUGGGCUACACACGUACUACAAUGGCCGUUAACAGAGGGAUGCAAUGCCGCGA